rnacentral:rRNA from 1 species
UACGUAGGGUCCGAGCGUUGUCCGGAUUUAUUGGGCGUAAAGAGCUCGUAGGCGGUUCCGUAAGGCGGAUGGGAAAACUCGGGGCUCAACCCCGAGACGCCAUCCGAUACUGCGGUGACUUGAGUCUGGUAGGGGAACACGGAAUUCCUGGUGUAGCGGUGAAAUGCGCAGAUAUCAGGAGGAACACCGGUGGCGAAGGCGGGUCUCUGGGCCGAUACUGACGCUGAGGAGCGAAAGCGUGGGGAGCGAACAGG